rnacentral:lncRNA from 1 species
CUUGGGUUGAAAUCCACUUUGUCUGCAAAUAGAAUAGCUACCCCUACUUUUUUCCAGGUUCUGCCAGUCUGUUUCUAUUGAUUGGUGAACUGAGACCAUUAACAUUGAUGGUUCUAACUGAUAUGUAUUGUCUUACCUUUGUCAUGUUAUUUUUCUGCUGUUGCCUUCCUUCUUUCCUCUUUAAUUUCUUUUUUUGGGGAGAGGGGUACUGGGGAUUGAACUCUGGACAUUGUGCUUGUGAAACAGGUGGCGGAACCACUGAGCUAAAUCCCCAGCCCUACUCUUUAAUUUUGUGUGUGUGUGUGUGUGUGUGUGUGUGUUGGUACCAGGAAUCAAACUUGGGACCUUGUGCUUGCAAGGCAGGCGGCAGAACCACUGAGCUAAAUCCCGGCCCAACUCUUUAAUUUCCUGCCUUGCCUGGUGGGUUCAUUUUGUUGUGGUUCUUAGACUUGUAAUCCUUGUUAUCUCUUUGUAGAAUAUCUUUCGGAGCCCUUUGGAGUGCUGCUUUGGUACUCAUGAAUUUCUUCAAGUGUUCUUUGUCAUGGAAGUAGCUUAUUUCUCCAUCAAUUUUGAAAGAUAGUUUUGCAGGAUACAUCAGUCUGGGUUGGAGGUUGUUUUCCUUUAGGGCUUGAAAUACUUCACUCCAAGGUCUCUUUGACUUGAGGGUUUGUGUUGAGAAGUCUGCUGUGAUUCUGACGGGCUUUCCUUUAUAGGUGAUUUGUUUCUUUUCUCUAACAGAUUUUACUAUUCUGUUCUUGUGUUAAAUUUCUGGAAUCUUGACUAUUACAUUCCUUGGGGAAGUUUUAUUUUUUUUUGAUCAUGGCUAUUUGGAGUUCUAUAUGCCUCAUUUAUCUGUAUGUCAAAUUCUUUUUUUUUUGGUACUGGGGAUCGAAUUCGGGUCCUUACGCUUGCGUAGCAGGCAGCGAAACCACUGAGCUAAAUCCCCAGCCCUGUAUGUCAAAUUCUUUUUCCCUGUUUGGGGUGUUUUCUGCCGUUACUUCUGUGAAUAUGUUUUUUAUGUUAUUUAUCCUGUCUCCUGCCUUUUCAUUGACUUUGAUCAAUCUUAUGUUACUCUUCUUUACAUCAUCUAGCAGCUGCUGGAUUGAUUCUCAUGGUCCCUUGCUGUUUUUAAGAACUCUUUUUCCCUGAUCGCUAACCACAGUCCUGUCUUCUAUAUCUGAUAUUCUGUCCUCACAUUGGCUCAUUCCGCUACAUAUACUUUCAAUGGCAUUUUUGAUCUCCUGUUUAUCUUAUUUAACUCUGUUACAUGGAUUGCAUUUCUCUCCUAUACUGGGUAUUCAUGGUUUCCAUCAUUUUCCUUAACUCCUCUAUUUUUUUUUUUUUUUCUGUAUCUCCUCUAGAGUCACUAAGUAUGUUUUUCAUUCUAUUCACCAUCUCUCUAGUUAGCUGAGAAAUUAUUUCUGCUUUGAAUUUUUCUAGAGCUUCAUUCAUCUGGUGUGUUACUUCUUUCGUUACCAUUUCAGAGAGUCCAGGUGGGUGGCUUUUGAAUUGUUCCACCUCAUUGCCUCCAGCGUUUGCCUUUGGUGAGCUGAAAGUUGUGGGGGGUGUUGAAUCUUGUUUAAGUGUCUUCUCAUUUUCUUUUUUUUAGUUUAAUUACUGGGUUGAUGCCUGUAGAUUUCUUAUAGCGAGUAACUUUAUUGUCAAUAUUCAGAACCCUUAGGAAAUGACUACUCCUCAGAGAUGUCUUCCAGGUUUAGCUGGCUUUUGGGUUUUGAGUCUGUUGCAAGAUCCUUAGGCAAUCUCAGCCUUGGUAUAUCAGGAAGAACAACUGAUUAACACAAUUAUGUUACUUUGGCUAAAGUACAGUCAGCAGUAACUAUAGCAUCAAACACAGCCUAGAAAAUGACAAACUGGUAACUAUUAAUUUGCCACCUUUAACCAUAUAAACUAGAUUUGUGGUUAUAUAACAAAAUCUAAAACCAGAAAAUUGUAUGCAAUAAUUAAGCCCUCAAAAUGGUGAUUUUACCCUAAGGAGAGAAGAUUUUAAAAGGGUUUUGGACAAGCGCAAGGACCCGAGUUCGAUCCCUGGUAGCAAAAAAAAAUAAAAGGGUUUUGGGGGGAAAAUAGAGAAAUAGAAGAGAUUAGAAGCAAGGCUGAAGCACAAAGGAAGAUAAUACAAAGUUUGGGAAACUGAUGAAGACGGGAGGAAAGAGAGAAGGAAAAAAUAAAAACGAGAACAAAACAGAACCACAACAAAAAAUAGACCAUGUUCACACUUGUGUAAAAACAAGAACAAACAAUCUAAAACCAGAACACAACUAGAACAAAAGCCAAAAAAGAGAAAAAAGAAAAUAAGGAAAAAAAGAAACACGUCCGAUUCACGGCAUAUCUCUGCUGUCACUGGUAGACAGCAGGGGUAGAGAGUACAAAUGCACUUGUUUAAUCCCAGAAGGCAAGCUGUAGAUUUCCUAGCAAGCCUGGACCUUCAGUUCCACUGAAGUUCACGCUUAUUUCUGACAAUGAGGCUGGAACUGGAUUUAUUGAGCCCAGAACUAUCUGUGUGCCUCCUGCUGACUUGAACUCCGCUUCCUGACCUCCUGCCAAUGUGAGAUUGGCACCUUCACCAUGACACCAGGAGCCACUAGAUGGAGCCCGCCCUUAGGUGUUCUGAGUUCUGAGCUCAGUUGGCCCCUCUCCAAGAUGGCUACUGGCCAAGCGUCCUCUCCUUGGUGAGACAUCUCUGAACCUGAAUAAUUCACCAGCUACUGCAGUCAGCUGUGUCCACUGCUCAGUUCCACAGGCUGGCCCUGAACUCCUGGGCUCCAGUGAUCCUCCGGCCUCAGCCCUCCCAGCAGCUGGACCACAGUGUUGAGACCGUGCCCAGCUGGGAUGAUGUCUGUGUGAUCAGAUGUGUUCCUUGUCUGUCCUUCCAUCACCCUCCUUUCCUGCAAUCCAGACCUCAGAGCACGAGGGGCCCUGGUGUGGAAAUCCCUGCCCACACCCACGUCCUGAGAAGCCUAUGCUGAGUCCCUGCCCUUUCCAAUCCUGGGGCUGCGUCUUCAAGACCACGAGACGUCAUGGAGCCCGAGGCUCCUGUCCCUUCCAGCCUCUCUUGUCCUCACAGCUCCGUCCCCCGACACUCCUGGAGGUGUCACCUUUGAUGGCCACAUUCGUGGUCCUGCUUCUGUGUGCUGGGGAGUAGCCAUGAGCACUGGCAGGGACACCACCCCAGGUGGCAGUCGGCUAGGACCGCUGAAACCCAGGCGGGGGCAGCCUGAGUGAGGCUCCGGCUCCACGAGCUCCACAGGCUCCACACCGUGCUUCUCCCACUAGUGCGCACUUCUCGGCAGUGCACUUGUCUGGGCCCGAGGUUGGGGUCUCAUCUUUAUCUUCACACAUCUGUAACCUGGGUCUCCCUGUCAUGGAACACAGUCAGCUGGGGACGUGGACACAGUGGGUCUGCACAAGGUCGAGUGAGUAGUUUUGAACCCUCACUGAUUCUUGUGCUCUGCUGAGCAGUGCUGAUGACAUUCGGCUGAAGGCCUUUGGCAGCACUAGCAUGGCAUGGCUCAGGGAAGGAAGUAAUUGACUGUAGGCAACACUUUGCCCAGCCACAUCCAGACAGAACAGUGCUGCAUUUCCAGGUGUAGUCUUGUAAAACAGUAUCUGUCGCUCUCUAGAAUCCAGUAAGAUUAAAAACUAGUGCCAACACUCAUCUGAUGCGGCCCCAGGAGAGAUGCAAGAGUUCUUUCAUGUCCCAAGAGUUAGACAUUUGCCCAUUUUUUAAAGUCUUUUUCUUCAAGUCUAAAAAAUAGGAUGCCUAUUUCUUCACCUUCACCUAUCCAUUCAAAAAUCACUUAUCAGGGCCAGGGAUUUAGCUCAGUGGCACCACACCUGCCUCAAAAGUGCGAGGUCCUGAGUUUGAUCCCUAGAACUGGAAAAAAAAAAAUCACAUCAACUACAUAUGGACUAAGUGAUAGUUGGGAUUUGCUUAAAAUUAUACAGGGUAAGUAAGGGGUAGUGAGGAAAGGAACAGAUGGAACAAGACUGGGUGUGAGUGGAUGGUUGCUGAAGGGGUGGCCAAGCACAUGAGCAGCCUCGGUACCUGCUUGAGCAUGGCAACACUGCCAUCACUGCACCCACAACAAUAGACACUCCAUGGGACCCCCCCACAUAUACAUUCCAAACGUGCAUGAUGAACAUGCCUUCAGUUGCCAUAUACGAGUACAGUUAAUGUUCACAAGUUCAUCUCCAUCUCCUCCAGCCCAUGCUGCCAGACCACAGCAAAGCAUUCUGUCAAACACAGAUGCUCCCAACCCGUGCCACCUGAUGUGAGAAAUCAGUGCACACAGACAACUGCUUGUUCACUGUGAUUGAACUGGGCCACACAGUAAGGCAUCUGAGAACCAGACUGGGCCUUUAUGUCCAAGUUCUCAGUGAGGGGAGAUUAGAUUGCUGAAAAAGAUCAGACAUGAAGCAAGGCUCAAGGCUGCAUUAUCUAGCUUUUGAUCCCCCUUUUUUGAGACAGGGUCUGUCAGGCUGCCCUUUAACUCACUAUACAGCCCAGACAGCCCCAAACUUGCAGCAAUCCUGCCUCAGCCUCUUGAAUGCUGGAAUUAUGGGCAUGUGCCACUACUCUCAGCUGGAUUCCCUUUGUAAAUAGCUUUUUUAAAUUGGAAAAACUGUUUUCCUUCUAUGCUGUGGCCCCGUGGCCCUCAGCAUGACAGAACUGCUGCUCACAUGGCUCUGACCAGCAGUAACUUAAAGGUCAGAGGCAGCUACCUCUAAGCCUCGCCAGCUUCUCUUCAGACUGCUGAGAAGCCCUGGUUUCAUCAACUCUCUCCAAUACUAACUGGUCUGUGCCAUUAAGCCAUCCAAUUAAAUAGUUACUUCCUUCUCAUUGUCAUGUGUUUGGGACCCAAAAGAGAACAAGGGGCCCUGCCACUGAGAAUCUCCACCUCAGGCUUCAACAACCAACGUAACGAGUGAGGCGAGUCAGAAUAACUCAUAGUAUAAGCAGAAGCAGCAGGAUUCUGUAGAUCUUCUCAGGAGAUGGUAUUUUAGUGAACGAUGGCCAGUGGGUGGCAGGAUCAUUUGGGGAAGUGGAAACACAAGGGCUGAUUCGUGUUUUAAAAAGAGGAAAAAAAAGAAAAAAAAAAAAAAAAAAGAGGAAAGGCAGAUGCCAAAGGGUGAUGAUGUCAGAUUAUAAGUCUGUGUGCAAUUAGACUGAUGGAACUCAGCACACUGAGGGAUGUUUAGCUGAGAAUGACGGGUCUGUGUUAGCAGAAGCAACCCUAGUUUCCCCUCACGAGGUGGGAGCAAGGGUGAAUCGGGAUGUCAUAGGAUUGGAGGUCUUGUACAGAUUCCUGAUGUCCUAAGCCAGUGAUGGAGAACCUUUUAGAACUUUUCAAUGAUAAACAGCCCAUUGCAGCACUUGUGUCACAGGUUUG